AGUGCCCCCUGCUGUCCCUCAGAGAGAUUCUCCUGGCUUGAAUUCCGAAAGAGCCAUCUUUCAAGGCGAGUGAAACAUUCCUUCAUGUUACAGUAUUUAUUUGAUAGCCUCCAAAUAAUGGAAAUUGCAAGCCUCCCAGUAAUUUACCCUCAAAAGUGCUCCGCGCUCUGUGGGCAGUCAAUAAAUAAUGGUGACUGAGUGAACAAAGCCCCCCGCUAUUUCUCUGGUUUCCAGAAGUCGUUGUAUUUCUAGACAGAGUCAGCACUGGAUCAUGACCCGGAGGUAUAAAAUAGGCUGAGGAAAGCUCGGAAAUGCAUCUGAAUCAGUACUAAGCAUUGCUUCCAUGGCAGAAGAAUGAUAAGGACCAGGCAACUGGGGUCGCCAGAUUCUGAUGCUGUUCCCUGCCACCUCUUUGGCAUGAGAGAGAAGUCUGAUGUGGAGGUCCUUGCAAUGAGGGAAGAAUGCGCUUCAAUCAUCUCCCAUCCGAAUGGAGUCCAUCUAUGUGAAUAGGGGAGAGUGUGGAAGAGAGAAUUUGCAAUGCAUGCAAAGGACAUCAUCUGUCAAUCAAAAGGAACAUUCUAUUGGAAUGUUCCCAGGAGAAGCAGUUGGAGUCAAGCCAGCAGCUGAAGUGGGCUGGACUUACUUCUGACCUAGGCUGAGAGGUUUUUGGCUUCUGGAACUGGGGAGAGGCUUGUGAACUAAGUUUGGCUGCUUGUGGCUGAUGGUGAAGACCCUGAAGCUUUUGCUGACUGACUGAGGUUACCUGGCUGGCUAGAAGAAAAGAAGACAUACAGUUAUCCUAAUCUCUCUGACUGUCCCUGCUAGUGACUGAUUGCCAUUUUCCCAAUAUCCUCCUAAACCUCCUUAUAGAGAAGAGGGAAACCUAUCCCUCUUACCUUAUCUUCUACCCUUCUCCUGUCUUCCCCAAAUAAACCCCUUACUUGAGAAAUCAGAAGAAAAGAGUAUUUCCUGAAAUCUCAUAGUUUACACUGAGUGAAUUAAAGAAGGGGGAGGGGAAGCUGAGGCUUCUGAAGAAGGAGGUAAAGGGAGGAGGGUAGGAAAAACUUUUGAUACAUUAGUCAUCUAGGAGAAUCAAUCAAUAGACCCCCCCCCCUAGAAGUAUCCCUUUAUUACAGUAGUUAACCAGGAUGGGCCCUCUGCAGAAUCGGGGAAAUUAUGUUGUCAAAUGUUCAACUUCAUUGCCUUUUCCUCCAACCUUCUCUUUGUUCUUUGUCCCCCUUAUCUCUAAAUGCAUAUGCUUUUCCUUUAUCAUUCUUUUUUUUCUUUAUCAUUCUUUUUUUUUAAACCCUUACCUUCCCUCUUGGAGUUGAUACUGUGUAUUGGCUCCAAGGCAGAAAAGUGGUAAGGGCUAGGCAAUGGGGGUCAAGUGACUUGCCCAGGGUCACACAGCUGGGAAAUGUCUGAGGCCAGAUUUGAACCUAGGACCUCCCAUCUCUAGGACUGGCUCUCAAUCCACUGAGCUACCCAGCUGCCCCCUCCUUUAUCAUUCUUAAGGGCAGAGGUUGUUUCAUUUUUUGUCUUUAUAUUCUUACCAUUUAACAUAGAUUCUGACACAUAGUAGGCACUUAAUAACUUUUUGUUGAUUGAUUGAUCUGAAGACUAGGACUACUCACUGUAGCAUUCCUAUACUUUUUAGAGACCAAGUGCCAUGCCCCUCUCCCCUCAGAGUGCUGGAUGUGCCCUAUCCCCUGUCCCUUACCCCAUAGAGGGAGGGAGGAAGCACUCCAUUGGGCUGCUGGGUGGAGGGGUGGGUGAAAUGAGAAAUGCCCUCAACAAGUAUAGAGAGGAAAAGGGGAGUGACCCAAGUACUCCAUUCCCCUCCAGCUAUACUGUCUGUUUGCUGCCCACCUUACCCUCUGUGUGCCUCCACUGGGCUGCUGGGGAUGUGGAAAAAAUGUCAUCAGGCAGGUAGAAAGGGGGAAGGAGGAAGGGCACUCAUAGAGAAUGCUCUGCAUGCCAUCUUUGGCACCCAUGCCAUAGGCUCACCAUUACUGCUCCAGCCCUUUGGCAUCUUCAGUGCUCCCAGUCCUAUUCAGUUCAACUACUAGACUCUUCCCAAGACUGUAAGAAGUAGCUGUGUCUCAUUGCCUCAGAUUCUUGCUCAUUAGUUUCCCAAACAAGUUAAUAUCCUAAAUCUGAUAAAUUCAAUGUACCCUUGCUUUCUUGGGUAUGUAUAAUUUUUUUCAGAGAGGAAACAGAAACCAUCAAGGUUAACUGAAAAGAAAAUAGAGGACAGUAAUGUUUCAAUAAGUGCUUGGUCCCACCCCUCCAUCCCUACUUCUGGGAUAAAAUAUUGACAGGAUUAUAAGAUUAAUUCAUAAUCUGGAUCCUUGUAUGCCUUAGUGGACAGUCAGAGUAGUUGGAGCUAUUAGGGAGGGACCUCAGGACCCAAGGAGUUUAAUCCCUUUAUUUUAUAGGUGAGGUAAUUGAGAGAAGCAGCUAGGUGCUAGAGAGGAGAGAAGAGUGCCAAAUCUGGAGUCCAUAAAACUUGAGUUGAAACCUGUUCUCAGAAAUGUAUUGAAUCUCAUUUUGCCUCAGUUCCUGAAUUCCUGAUCUGUAAAAUGUAGAUAGUAAUAGACCUACUUCCCAGGAGUAUUAAAAAGAAGAAAUGAGACCAUAUUUGUAAUGUAUUUUGCAAGCCAUAAAGUACUAUGUAAAUGUGUUACUGUUGUUAUUAUUAAAUUGUAUUGUUAUUAUUUUUA